rnacentral:misc_RNA from 1 species
AAACUGCGAUAAGUAGUGUGAAUUGCAGAAUUCGUGAAUCAUCGAAUCUUUGAACGCAACUUGCGCUCUUGGGCUAAUCCUAAGAGCAUGUCUGGUUGAGAAUCAGUAAAUUAACUCGAUAAGGUUUUACCUUAUUGGAUAUGAAUUGUCCAUUUGACGUUUGUCUUUGAUGGUCAUUUGAAGUCAAGGCGAGCGAUCUGAUGAUUUAAGCUAUGAGUCGUUCAAUGUGAGUGUGAUAUUUCUAUCUCAUUUCAUAAAACGUGCUCGUUUGCUGUUGUCAUGAUUUGCUUUGUACAUUCUAUCUUGUGAUGUUGUGAAUGCAAUGCGCAAAGGCUUGCUCCCUUAAGAGGGGAAGGCCUUGGCGCUUUGCACAUGUUCACGAUAUCAAUCAUGAUCUCAACUCAGGCAAGAUUACCCGCUGAACUUAA